UCGUGUUAAGGAUAGAAAUGGCAUCCUUUUUACGUCAGUCAAGGCUUGACGAAGACACGUAAAAAGAUACAAUGGAUAGCCUGACCAAGA
rnacentral:sRNA from 1 species